GGGGGGCGCGGAGGGGGGCGCGGAGGGGGCGCGGAAGGGGGGCGCGGAGGGGGCGCUGUCCGCGGUGCUGACUCUGCCCGCGGCCGGCGCGACGGCGACAGCGACGGCGACAGCGGCGACAGCGGCGGCUCCGACGGCUCCUCCCGCCGCCGCCCCGCCGAGGGCUAUUUAUUGGGGCCGCCCCGGCCGGCCACUCCUCCCGGCGCUGCCCUGCCCGCCCUGCGUGCGAAGGGGGGGCCGGGGUCUCCCCCCGGAGGGUGCCGCCCUCCCCUCGGCGUGGGGAGGGAGGGUUGGGGGCCGGCGGGUCCCCCCAAGUUAUUUUGGGGUCCUGAUGCUGAAGUGGUGGUCGUGGAUCUGCCGGCUGAGCCGUCGGGUUCCCGGCUGGGGAAGGGUGCUGGGUGUCAGCUCUGCGGGAUGGUCCCGUGCGAGGUGCUGGGGUCACCCCAUUUGUGCGUGAUCCGUCCCCAAACUGUGUCUGCAGGUAGCUCGGCAUGGGCUUCAUCUCUGCAGUGGGGCAGCCCUAUAAACUGAGGUUUCUCGGGGUAUUGAGAUAUCCAUAUCGAGACAGCACAGCAACGGGGUCAGUAAACUUAAAUAUAUGGCCCUAGCGGGUAACCUCAUGCCAACAGCACACUAUGAAACACCACCCUAGUAAGGUCACUCUUUUGCAGUGCAGGGGGGUGAGGGACACUGCCACUUCUGACUGGCCUAGAGUCUUUUUCUUUAGGGAGACCAUCUUCCAAGACUUGCCCUCCUAUAGUUGUAGGUUGGUGGGAGGGAGCAGAGCAGCUUGCCAAAGAUCUUCCUUCUGUUGCAGGGUGACAUGGAGUUGUACCCGUACUAAUUAUCAGGUCCUCAUUAGGAUGGCUGCAUGACCUCGGUACUCUGAAGCUCAGAAACUGCCUUUCUGCAAUGUUCCUCACGUGCUGCAUUGAGUUAGCAGGGUGUGAUGGCCAAGGUGAUCGGCUGCCAGAGCAUUGCCAAAUACAGGAGGAGCAGGUACCUGGCAGGGCCCUGGCCACGACAAGCGGAAGUGCAGUGAAUCGAGCCCGCGCCUAUCCUUUGUGCUUGGAAAGACAACAGGGUGCUAGUGACGCAAGGACGCUGGAAGGAGACAAAGGUGGAAUUGGCAUUUCCAUCAUUUUUACACAGAAGACAACUGUGCCAAUGAGGCAACCUCUUGUAUUUGCCAAGCGUAUUGAAUUACUCACUUCAGUGCAGAAUUUCAGCUUCCAGCAGCAUGCACAAAUGGAAACUGAGUGCUGAACCUGUUUUAACAGUCCUCUGACUUGCAUCUUAUGUUGGUUUGCUCCUUGCUGUGCACCAUUUUCAAAUGGCACCUCAAAUCUUGUCCUUGUUACUUAUCCCUGACCCAGAAAUCUGUAGCUGAAUGGUGGGGAAGAAUUCAGUGUUGUUUGGGGCCAGCCUGACGUGGCUCAUCUGACUGCUCAGACUUUUAAAUGAAAAGGAGCUGUAAUAUUUACAUUUUCAAAAGUUCUCAGAAUAAAAUAUUUUGCAUAGGUCACAUGUGGCUGAGAGGGUUUGGAAAAAGUCUCGCAGGGACUUAGAAAAUACAUUGUUGCUCCUCACCAGGGACAUGUAUAAUCAUGAGCAGGUAGGAUACUUGGACGCACUGACCUCUCAUUAUGCUAACAUCUACAAAAUCAGUAUUGUCUACAGAGCCUUUAUGUAUCUUUCAGCAUUCUUUGUAAAACAAUAUGUUGAGGUGAAUGAGUUCAUCUGUUCUUGCCGCUGCACUUGAAGUGAUCCUGCGCAGACAUAAAAGUAGCAGACAUUUCCGUGCAAAAAUAAGCACUUAUGUAACUAACUGCACACCAUAUUUUCAUGAUUAAUGAAUUACCAAGCCACCAUUCAUAUUUAAUCCUACUGGACUCUGCUUCUUAUGCAAAACUAAAUCAGAAACUGGUCAUUUCAAUUCCAAGAAGCUAUUAAUUUCCAUUGAAAGAGAAAGCACUGUAAAAGAUCUAAAAAUGCAGAUAUAUACAGGAUGUGAUCCAUAACCCAAUGAAGUCCAUGCAAAUUCUUUCAGAGACUCUAGAGGGCUUUAUACAAGGACGUAGUUCUUCAUGUUUUCAGAAAUUAUAUGUAUGGUGAUGUGCAUAUAUACACAUCGAUUAAUGAAUUACUGCACUAAGAAGCAUAAGCCCUGUCUUUCAUUUUAUCCAGAGCUACUUGAAGUUCUCCUUACAAAAAAUGAGCCAGAUCCAUAUCUGGCAGAAGUCAAAAAAACUACAGUGAAGCCAGCUGGAAACUUGACCCAGAAUCCAAGUGACUAUCAUUUUCUUUGAAAGCAUUUGUUGUUCAUAGCUCUUCUACAAAUGCUUUUCAUUAAUAUUUUUUUUUUGUAUGUGGGUUUUCUGAGACUUUCCAGUUAUGACUACCAACCUUCUGUCUUUAGUCUCUGAAGAGCAUUUAAGUGUAAUAUCCCAAGGGUCCUUCAAGGUUUGUGAAAAUCAAAUAUACCAAUUAUAACAGCAAAUAAAAGCAAGAAAUAAUAAGGUAAGAAAUUCUCAUCAAAAUAAAUAAAUAAAUAAAUACACAC
rnacentral:lncRNA from 1 species